AGUUUAUUAAAGGCUCCGGGCAGCGGCGGCCCCGGCGGUUGGAGCCGGCCCGGACCCGCCGGGGGCCGCCCGCGGGCGGGGCAGUGUCGGGGCUGCGGCGGGGCCCGGGCGGGGCUCCGGGGGGGGGGGGAAGCGGGAGGGCGGGGCGGGCAUUGGGGGGUCCCCGGUGCAUUGGCGGCGGGGGGGGGUGUCCUGGUGAAUGGGGGGGCCCGGUGCAUUAUGGGAGGGGCUGGUGCAUUGGGGGUUCCCCGGUGCAUUGAGGGGGGUCCUUGUGAAUGGGGGGGUUGGUGAAUGGGGGGGCCCGGUGCAUUUCGGGGGGGGGCUACUGAGCGUGGGGGGUUGUUGUGCAUUGGGGGUGGGUCGAGUGAAUGGGGGGAGUGGGGCUGGUGCAUUGGGGAGUCCCCGGUGCAUUGGGGGGUCCUGGUGAAUGGGGGGAUCCCGGUGCACCGCGGGGGGUAGUGAAUGGGGGGGGGCUGGGUGUCCUGUGGCUCCUGGUGCACAAGAUGGGGGGGGGUGUUUGGGGGUGCAAUGCACGAGAGACGAUGCACGAGGAAGAAGGGGGGGACCCCAUCGUGGUGCACGAAGGGGGGGUGGUGCUGUCGCACGGGUCCUGGUGCACGAGAGAAGCCGGUGCACGAGGGGAGGUUGAUGCACGAGGAAUGUCCGGUCCC
rnacentral:lncRNA from 1 species